rnacentral:rRNA from 1 species
CGCCCGCUGGCGGCGUGCUUAACACAUGCAAAUCGAACGGUGAAGGGGCCUGCUUUUGUGGGCCCUGGAUGAGUGGCGAACGGGUGAGUAACACGUGAGUAACCUGCCCCCUUCUUCUGGAUAACCGCAUGAAAGUGUGGCUAAUACGGGAUAUUCUGGGUCUGUCGCAUGAUGGGUCUGGGAAAGAUUGCGCCUUUGGGUGUUUUUGGUGGGGGAUGGGCUCGCGGCCUAUCAGCUUGUUGGUGGGGUGAUGGCCUACCAAGGCGGUGACGGGUAGCCGGCCUGAGAGGGUGGACGGUCACACUGGGACUGAGACACGGCCCAGACUCCUACGGGAGGCAGCAGUGGGGAAGAUUGCACAAGGGGCGCAAGCCUGAUGCAGCGACGCCGCGUGAGGGAGGGAGGCCUUCGGGUUGUAAACCUCUUUCGCCAGUGAAGCAGGCCUGCUCCUUGUGGGUGGGUUGACGGUAGCUGGAUAAGAAGCGCCGGCUAACUACGUG